rnacentral:rRNA from 1 species
GGGGACAACAGCCAGAAAUGGCUGCUAAUACCGCAUAAGCCUGCUGUGCCGCAUGGCACAGCAGGGAAAACCACGGAGGUACAGGAUGGGCCCGCGUCUGAUUAGUUAGUUGGCAGGGUAACGGCCUACCAAGACAACGAUCAGUAGCCGGCUUGAGAGAGUGGACGGCCACAUUGGGACUGAGACACGGCCCAGACUCCUGCGGGAGGCAGCAGUGGGGAAUAUUGCACAAUGGGGGGAACCCUGAUGCAGCAAUGCCGCGUGGGUGAAGAAGCACUCCGGUGCGUAAAGCCCUGUCAGCAGGGAAGAAAAUGACAGUACCUGGACAAGAAGCCCCGGCUAACUACGUGCCAGCAGCCGCGGUAAUACGUAGGGGGCAAGCGUUAUCCGGAUUUACUGGGUGUAAAGGGAGCGCAGGCGGCGUGGCAAGUCAGAUGUGAAAACCCGGGGCCCAACCCCGGGAGUGCAUUUGAAACUGCCAUGCUGGAGUGCCGGAGAGGUAAGCGGAAUUCCUAGUGUAGCGGUGAAAUGCGUAGAUAUUAGGAGGAACACCAGUGGCGGAGGCGGCUUACUGGACGGUAACUGACGCUGAGGCUCGAAAGCGUGGGGAGCAAACAGGAUUAGAUACCCUGGUAGUCCACGCCGUAAACGAUGAA